rnacentral:rRNA from 1 species
AGUGAACGCUGGCGGUAGGCCUAACACAUGCAAGUCGAACGGCCGCACAGUAAGAGCUUGCUCUUACGGGUGGCGAGUGGCGGACGGUUGAGGUAUACAUCGGAAUCUACUUUUUCGUGGGUGAUAACGUAGGGAAACUUACGCUAAUACCGCAUACGACCUACGUGGGAAAGCAGGGGAUCUUCGGACCUUUCGCGAAUGAAUGAGCCGAUGUCGAAUUAGAUAGUUGGCGGGGUAAAGGCCAACCACAGCGACGUUCGGUAGCUGGUCUGAAAGGAUGAUUAACCAGACUGGAAGUGAGACACGGCACAGACACCUGCGGGAGGCAGCAGCGGGGAAUAUUAGGCGAUGGGGCAAAGCCUGAUCCAGCCAUACCGCGUGGGUGAAGAAGGCCUCAGGGUUGUAAAGCGAUUUUGUUGGGAAGGAAGAGCAGCAGGUUAAUCCGCGACUGUACUGACGGUACCCAAAGAAUAAGCCCCGGCUAACUUCGUG